rnacentral:misc_RNA from 1 species
UUUCCGUAGGUGAACCUGCGGAAGGAUCAUUCAUAAUAAAGUGUUUUAUGGCACUUUUUAAAAAUCCAUAUCCACCUUGUGUGCAAUGUUAGACCUCGUCAAUCUUGGCGAGAUUUUUAUACACCAACUCAUUCUUUCACUAAUUUGUCUGAAAAAUAUUAUGAAUACUUAAUUCAAAAUACAACUUUCAACAACGGAUCUCUUGGCUCUCGCAUCGAUGAAAAACGCAGC